AAAAUUAUUUAAACUUGAAUUUUGAUUACCCAUUAAAGGAAAGAAGAAAAUGCAUAUGGAAAAUGAAAUUUCAACGUGACAUAAUUUUGGGUUCGAGUGUUCAAAGGUCUAGUAUAUCUUGGUUCUCGAUGCAUCGUCCCAAAUUGACCCAUUUAGUAGAGGAAUCGAAACCAAAUCAACCGUUUCUAUUUGGUUCGGUCCGAUUGCACCCCUAACCAUUACAAUUCGAAUUUAUCCUUCAUGCCGCUGCCUCUGCACACUACCCUAAACUUCUCCUCACAAUGAAGUAAAAUAGAUUUAGGGCACGAUUAAGAAAGGCAAUUUCGAAGGCUAUGGGCUCUACAUGACUAGCGGUGGAGAGAAAAAUGGAGUCGCAAUUUUAUGAUGGAAAGAGAAAUGGAGUCGUGGUGGAAAAUCGAGCAUCAAUGGUGAGUAGGCAAUUGGGGUGUAGUCGAUAGUUAAGAUAGGCAUAUUUGGAAGACGGUGGGGUUUCAUACGACUGGAGGUGGAGAUAGAAGUGAAAUUGCAGUCUGCCGAUGAAGAGAGAAGUGGAGGCAUCAGGAUGCUAUCAUUGGAAUCACGAACAGGGGACGAUAAGUUGUUGGUGAUCAAUGGUAGGUGCUGGAGACCAGUGAUGGUUCGAUGAUAGUUGUAGAAGCAAGAGAGAUAUGUGUUUGAAUGUAGACAGAGAAAUAGACAUUGUUUGAAUGGGUAAUUAGCA
rnacentral:lncRNA from 1 species